AGGGAAGAGAGGGUGAGAAGCUGCUGGUCAGAGGAGGUUAUGCAACACGGGAGACAUUGGCAUAAUUUCUGCAGGGCUCUGGUUUGCAGAGUCAUUAGGAAACAGCCAGUGCCCUGCCUACACACAAAGUCUAGCCAAGCUUCUGGAGAGCAGUGUGGCUGGUGCUGGACUGUCAUGGGCACAAAUGUGUACCAGCAGUUGGGAAAAACUGGAGGAAGAGCUGGGAAUACAAUAGGCUGCUGAAGAAUAAAAUGCAGAUUUGCUAUCUCUAUUAUGGUCUUUGCCUGCGUGCCCUGAGCUCAUGGCCAAAGUCAGCGCUGUGUGAAAGCUAAGAAUUAAUUUCAUCUUCUCACUGAAGAUGGCCUCACCUAUGAAGACAAGCUGUACGAGUGCUUGGAGAAAGACAUUUUACAAGCGGCUGUAGUGAUAGGACAACGGGCAAUGUCUUCAAACUGGCAAAGGGCCGGUCUAGAUCAGAUAUCAGGAAGAAAUCAUUUGCUGUAAGCAAAUGGUUGAGGCACUGAAACAGAUUUCCCAGAGAGGCUGUAGAUGCCCUAUCUCUGAAAGUGUUUAAGGCCUGACUAGAUGGGCAACCUGGUCUAGUGAAAUGUGUCCCAUUCAGUGGCAGGGAAUUGGAACAACAUGGUCUUUACAGUCCCUUCCAACCCAAGCCUUUCUAUGACUCUAUGAUCCAAUUAUCCAUUGAAGAGGAGCAGGUAAAUGAGCAGCACUACCUCAUUUUCUACCGCAGCAUCUUACCUUAUGACACUUGGAAAGCUAUGUGUCAGAAAAAAGCAAAGAAUAAAUCAUGUAAGCCAGGGUGGGAAGACCUUUUGUGAUCUAUCAUGCUAUAGUUCAGCUACUGUGUGAUGAAAUGUAUAGGAUUUAUACAUUUGCUCUCCCACAGAGAGAGCAAAUACCAGGCUUUACUGGGCUGGCUGAGCAGGGCAACACCCAGAAGAGGGUCAGGCAGCCUGUGGAUCCCCUGAGCACUGCAUUUCAUUCCCCAUAGGACUUAAGCUGAGCUCUGAGAGGAAGGAUAGGAACACAAACACAGGAACUGGGAAGAGCAGCAAGAAGGAUUUGCAAUCCACAGGAGUCAGGAAUGGAAGUGCUCCUCUGAAGGCUUGGGCCCUGAAGGCUUGGGACAAAUUUUAUUUUAUAACCUGGGCCUUAAUAGUCAUCCCCCUACACUUCUUCUCUAUAACUGGUGUUUCAUACCAUCCUUUAGAGAGCUUCCCUAACCUGCUUGUUUUUGCAGAGGGGUUUUUUGCCCCUUUGUUACCUCCCUCUAUCCUUUGCAUUUGAAUGAUCUUGGCUGCAGACAUUUUAGCCAAUCACCCUCAGACUAAGAUCUACUCCAGGUUAGUCUUGUCCUGUCCAAACUAAAACUCCGUCUUGCCUUUGGCCCUUGAGGUAUCUGGCCAGCAAUUCUCCACCAGGCUGGCUGAAACAGAAUUUUCACUCUCCUUCCAUUCUUUCGUGUUCCCUUUUUUCACAGUUCUGGUUUUUUCUCCUCCUUCCCUCAGUCUGGCCAUCACCUCCGGUCUGAGUUUUAGUAAUGCUUGUAACCUCAGCACUGGUAUGGCACUUAAACUUUUUUCAUGAGGGUGGUCUUCAUGUUGUUUGCUUUCUUCCUGGACAACUUUAUAGAGUGUGUUGACAUGUUUCCUUCCCCAAAUGUGUCUAAAAGACUGAUUUGGCUGUCAGCCCAGACAAGGGCUACUCCACACUAUCCUUAGCCUUGCUCCAGCCUUUGUCAAGUGACCAUGGAGUGUUGUGACAGCAUCUCUGAGAUACAGUCUUUUGCUGUCUUCCAGCUAACUUUGUUAUCCAUACCGAGUUCUCGCAUGGUGUGACUCUGCUGUGCAACAACAUUUAGGACUGGCUAUUUGACAAGGGCUUUGCAUAUCAGCUUCCUCCUCCUGGUGCAGCCCAAGAGCAGAGAAACCACUGUGAGAUUUAGGGGACCAACCAGCACCAGAUUCUGUCUGUGAAGACGGCCAGUGGGGUGUGGUUGGAGUAGAUGGAGGAGCAGUGUAGGUAUAAAGCCACAUGUUUUCAGCAAUCUUUAAUCAAGAUUGAGCUCUGCUUAAUCUUACUCUGACCAAAGCAUCAUUUUGCCUAGUGGGCCUUGCUGUGUUGUACUUCCGUGAGAGAACCUGAUUGCCUUUGAUCCAUUCUGCAUUGUUUCGCAUCCCAGAAAUCCUAGUUAAUUAAUUCCUCAGAUUUACAGAGUCAUAGAGUGAGUAAGAUUGGAAAGGACCACAUUUGGUCCAGCCUUCCUGUUCGAGCAGUGUCAUCCUAGAGCACUUUGCAGAAGAUUGAGUCCAGAUGGUUCUUCCCUCCAAUGAGGGAGGCUCUUCAAUUCAUAAAGAGUACUUAAAUUUUCUUCAACCUGCUAUGUCAUUUCUUAAUUAAUAUGUUUUUGUUCCUAUACUGUAAAACAAAAACAAGUAAUCAUUUCCAAAUUACCUCAGUCACUGCAAAUGGUUUCUCAACACAUCAGUUUGUCUCCCUUGGCUGUCUUCUUUUCCUAUUCAUUUGAUUUUCCCUUUCCCCUUGUCCACUUCUUCUUAAUUCCACUGUACUUUCUCUGAGGAGGAAGGGAGAAAACAUGUAACUGAUCCCCAGUCCACUUUCCCACUUGGGGAUAACUGGUCUGAACACUUUUGCACAGUUAGAGCUUCUCCUUGUAAAUUACACCCACCCAAACUUUAAUUUGUCAUUUUAUCCCCCAGCUUUCAUUCUGAGAUCUUUCUCAUUUCCACUACACUGCAUUCCUCAGCCUCACCAUCAAACUUUUCCCCCUCACUGCUCACACACAGACCAUUUAUGAAUACAUCAAAAAUCACAAGCCCUAGCAUAGAUCCUGGUGGGACACACUGGUGUGCUCAAUUUUAAACACUGACCAUUUUCCAUUCAUUAUAUUCUGCCUUGCUGUGAACCAUGAGAAUAAGUAUGUUGUGGAGGAGAGCAAUUAAGGACAUUUGGAGAGGGAUCUUUCUGAAAAUGUUUUGGGCAUCCAGUAACAUCCAUCUGUACAGCCACAUUAAUUAAACUGGAUUCCUCACUCCUUUAAACAGCGA
rnacentral:lncRNA from 1 species